GACGAACGCUGGCUGCGUGCUUAACACAUGCAAGUCGAACGGAAAGGCCCUGCUUUUGUGGGGUGCUCGAGUGGCGAACGGGUGAGUAACACGUGAGUAACCUGCCCUUGACUUUGGGAUAACUUCAGGAAACUGGGGCUAAUACCGGAUAGGAGCUCCUGCUGCAUGGUGGGGGUUGGAAAGUUUCGGCGGUUGGGGAUGGACUCGCGGCUUAUCAGCUUGUUGGUGGGGUAGUGGCUUACCAAGGCUUUGACGGGUAGCCGGCCUGAGAGGGUGACCGGCCACAUUGGGACUGAGAUACGGCCCAGACUCCUACGGGAGGCAGCAGUGGGGAAUAUUGCACAAUGGGCGGAAGCCUGAUGCAGCAACGCCGCGUGCGGGAUGACGGCCUUCGGGUUGUAAACCGCUUUCGCCCGUGACGAAGCGUGAGUGACGGUAAUGGGUAAAGAAGCACCGGCUAACUACGUGCCAGCAGCCGCGGUGAUACGUAGGGUGCGAGCGUUGUCCGGAUUUAUUGGGCGUAAAGGGCUCGUAGGUGGUUGAUCGCGUCGGAAGUGUAAUCUUGGGGCUUAACCCUGAGCGUGCUUUCGAUACGGGUUGACUUGAGGAAGGUAGGGGAGAAUGGAAUUCCUGGUGGAGCGGUGGAAUGCGCAGAUAUCAGGAGGAACACCAGUGGCGAAGGCGGUUCUCUGGGCCUUUCCUGACGCUGAGGAGCGAAAGCGUGGGGAGCGAACAGGCUUAGAUACCCUGGUAGUCCACGCUGUAAACGGUGGGUACUAGGUGUGGGGUCCAUUCCACGGGUUCCGUGCCGUAGCUAACGCUUUAAGUACCCCGCCUGGGGAGUACGGCCGCAAGGCUAAAACUCAAAGGAAUUGACGGGGCCCCGCACAAGCGGCGGAGCAUGCGGAUUAAUUCGAUGCAACGCGUAGAACCUUACCUGGGUUUGACAUGGAUCGGGAGUGCUCAGAGAUGGGUGUGCCUCUUUUGGGGUCGGUUCACAGGUGGUGCAUGGCUGUCGUCAGCUCGUGUCGUGAGAUGUUGGGUUAAGUCCCGCAACGAGCGCAACCCUUGUUCACUGUUGCCAGCACGUUAUGGUGGGGACUCAGUGGAGACCGCCGGGGUCAACUCGGAGGAAGGUGGGGAUGACGUCAAGUCAUCAUGCCCCUUAUGUCCAGGGCUUCACGCAUGCUACAAUGGCUGGUACAGAGAGUGGCGAGCCUGUGAGGGUGAGCGAAUCUCGGAAAGCCGGUCUCAGUUCGGAUUGGGGUCUGCAACUCGACCUCAUGAAGUCGGAGUCGCUAGUAAUCGCAGAUCAGCAACGCUGCGGUGAAUACGUUCCCGGGGCU
rnacentral:rRNA from 1 species